rnacentral:rRNA from 1 species
GAUGAACGCUGGCGGCGUGCUUAACACAUGCAAGUCGAACGAUGAAGCCCAGCUUGCUGGGUGGAUUAGUGGCGAACGGGUGAGUAACACGUGAGUAACCUGCCCCUGACUCUGGGAUAAGCCCGGGAAACUGGGUCUAAUACCGGAUAUGACUUUUGACCGCAUGGUUGAGGGUGGAAAGAUUUAUCGGUUGGGGAUGGACUCGCGGCCUAUCAGCUUGUUGGUGAGGUAAUGGCUCACCAAGGCGACGACGGGUAGCCGGCCUGAGAGGGUGACCGGCCACACUGGGACUGAGACACGGCCCAGACUCCUACGGGAGGCAGCAGUGGGGAAUAUUGCACAAUGGGCGCAAGCCUGAUGCAGCGACGCCGCGUGAGGGAUGACGGCCUUCGGGUUGUAAACCUCUUUCAGUAGGGAAGAAGCGAAAGUGACGGUACCUGCAGAAGAAGCGCCGGCUAACUAC